rnacentral:rRNA from 1 species
GAUGAACGCUAGCGGCAGGCUUAACACAUGCAAGUCGAGGGGUAUUGGUUUUCGGACCAAGAGACCGGCGCACGGGUGCGUAACGCGUAUGCAAUCUACCUUUUGCAGAGGGAUAGCCCAGAGAAAUUUGGAUUAAUACCUCAUAGUAUAGUACUUUGGCAUCAAGGAACUAUUAAAGUCACAACGGCAAAAGAUGAGCAUGCGUCCCAUUAGCUAGUUGGUAAGGUAACGGCUUACCAAGGCUACGAUGGGUAGGGGUCCUGAGAGGGAGAUCCCCCACACUGGUACUGAGACACGGACCAGACUCCUACGGGAGGCAGCAGUGAGGAAUAUUGGACAAUGGGCGCAAGCCUGAUCCAGCCAUGCCGCGUGCAGGAUGACGGUCCUAUGGAUUGUAAACUGCUUUUAUACAGGAAGAAACACUCCGACGUGUCGGAGCUUGACGGUACUGUAAGAAUAAGGAUCGGCUAACUCCGUGCCAGCAGCCGCGGUAAAG